rnacentral:rRNA from 1 species
UACGUAGGGGGCUAGCGUUGUCCGGAAUCAUUGGGCGUAAAGCGCGCGUAGGCGGCCCGGUAAGUCCGUUGUAAAAGUCAAAGGCUCAACCUUUGAAUGUCAGUGGAUACUGCCGGGCUAGAGUCCGGAAGAGGCGAGUGGAAUUCCUGGUGUAGCGGUGGAAUGCGCAGAUAUCAGGAGGAACACCAAUGGCGAAGGCAGCUCGCUGGAACGGUACUGACGCUGAGGCGCGAAAGCGUGGGGAGCAAACAGG